rnacentral:siRNA from 1 species
CAUCCAGGAAUAUCCAUCAC